rnacentral:rRNA from 1 species
UGGGGAAUCUUAGACAAUGGGGGAAACCCUGAUCUAGCCAUGCCGCGUGAGCGAUGAAGGCCUUAGGGUUGUAAAGCUCUUUCAGCUGGGAAGAUAAUGGCGGUACCAGCAGAAGAAGCCCCGGNUAACUCCGUGCCAGCAGCCGCGGUAAUACGGAGGGGGCUAGCGUUGUUCGGAAUUACUGGGCGUAAAGCGCACGUAGGCGGAUUAGUCAGUCAGAGGUGAAAUCCCAGGGCUCAACCCUGGAACUGCCUUUGAUACUGCUAGUCUUGAGGUCGAGAGAGGUGAGUGGAAUUCCGAGUGUAGAGGUGAAAUUCGUAGAUAUUCGGAGGAACACCAGUGGCGAAGGCGGCUCACUGGCUCGAUACUGACGCUGAGGUGCGAAAGCGUGGGGAGCAAAACAGGAUUUAGAUACCCUGGUAGUCCACGCCGUAAACGAUGAUGCCAGUCGUNGGGUUGCAUGCAAUUCGGUACACACCUAAAGGGNUUUAAGCAUUCCGCCUGGGGAGUACGGUCGCAAGA